rnacentral:lncRNA from 1 species
CUUCCUUCUGUUGGCGCUUUGGGAAUAUUCAUUCUUGGCUCGCGCCCCGCACGGUUGACAGUUGGGCUGGGAAAUGUACCCGCGACUUAAUUAGGGCAUCGCCAGACCUGCCAAGCUCCAGCUCCUCCCCUUCGCGACUGCCGCGACCCCCGGGACCCCCAGGACCCCCAGGGCCUGCCCCACGCUGUGGGAGGGCGCCUCGCUGUUCCUACGGCUGUACCAUCAGUGCCCAACCCGUGUGCUCCGGCUCAUAGAAACCUGUCCUGGCCAAGGCAGAGCGACGGCCUGUCCCACAGAAUAAGCCAGAGGGGAGAUCAUUUCCACGCUGUCGUCACCAUCACCACUACUCUGGAGGAUCAGCCAACGCUCCUGGAAAGAGGCAUCCGAUUGGAGAGGAGGAGGUAACUUAUUGCUGAUUGAAGAUUAUUUGACUAUUUACAUGGAAAACCCACAAGAAUCAACUGAAAAAGUGAUUGAAAAUGACAAAAUAACUGAGUAAGGUAACCGGAUUCAAAAUUAGUGUUCUAUUAUCAAUGGCCUUCAAAUACACAGACAACAACCAGGACUAAAAUAUAAUGGAUAUAAGACUGCAUUUGCAAAAGCAACCUAGAAAUAAACUUUUUAAAAAUGUGCAAAACCAUUUUAAAUGCUGCCAAAGGAUACAAAUGUGAACUUAACACCACAUUCUUGGGUUAAAAAUCUCAACAUUAUAAGGAUGCCAGUUCUUCUAAAUUAAGUUACACAUCAACACAACCGCAAUGAAAAUACUAACAGAAUUUCUUGUGGAACCAUACCAGUCAAUUUUAAAGUUGAUAUGGAAAAAUACACAUGCAUCCAGGAAAAGUUUGAAAACAGAAAUGUAAAAAGCAGAGAUAACCCCAUCCAUUAUUUACUUGUAUUUUAAAUCUAUUAUAAAGCUAAAACAAUUCAACCUAUGGCACGAGUACAUGAAUAGCUAUAUAAUUCAGAAAUUACUAGAAGUCACUCAAUAUAUAUAGGAAGUUACCAUAUGAUCAAGUUGGCACUUAAAACAGGAUUUAUCCAUAUUUGGUAUUGGAACAAUUGGCUACCCAUCUGUAAAAGAAAUUAAUUUAGAUCCUCACUUCACAUGUUAUACCAAAAUAAAUUCUACAUGAAUCAAAGGUUUAAAUGAAUUCCUUAAAGAACCAGAAGAAAGCAGGGGAUAUAGGAAUGAUCAUCUAUUGAGCCUUUACUUCCGCUCAAGGCCUGGUGACAUAAGUAGGCCCAGCUCAUGGAUUGCUGGCUGGAUAAUGGCUUCACUGACUCUCAGGUCCUGUACUAGAUGCUGUAGCAGUGGCUGCCAGUUGCAGACACUGGACUAGAUUUCCCACAUGUCUUAGUCCAUUUGUGUUGCUAUAAAAGAGUACCAUAGGCGGCCAGGCAUGGUGUCUCAUGCCUAUAAUCCCAGCACUUUGGAAGGCUGAAGCAGGCAAAUCACGAGGUCAGGAGAUCGAGAUCAGCCUGGCUAACAUGACGAAACCCCGUCUCUACUAAAAAUACAAAAAAUUAGCCAGGUGUGGUGGCACGCACCUGUAGUCCCAGCUACUUGGGAGGCUGAGGCAGGAGAAUCACUUGAAUCCAGGAGGAGGAGGAGGUUGCAGUGAGCUGAGAUGGCACCAUUGCACUCCAGC